GCCGCCUUUUGCCGAGCUGCGGGAUCGACGUCUGACCGCCACCAUGACCGGCCUCUUGCGAAGGUCCCGGUCACAGUCUCCUGUGCCUUUGGACCUUGGGAGCGAAUGGGUGAUUAUAUGCCAGACGCCAAAAGCAAUAUUGCAACACCAUGCGUGAGGAACAUGAUUCUGCCAGUAUUUAAGCAUUAUACUUGCUAACACUGAGAGCUUAAUUAUCUUUGAUGCAACCAGUCCGUCCAAGCAUCCAAAUGUACGAUUCAUGUGCCUAGAAUCAGUACUUUUGCAUGUCUGAUGCAUGCAGAAAUAUCCAAAUGUACGACACCUCAUGGACCCGAUGUGAAGGACAAGUAAGCCAUCCACACGAAGUCGGCGGCAGCAAGGGUGUGGGGCGUCGGGAGGAGCAUCUGGGUUGAAGGUUCUGGCCCUCGCCAUUGAGACUACCGUGUUCGUCGCCGAGUACAUCUGGUCAAGAACAAUUGAUUUUAUCGGCAACAGGAGGCGCUUAUCAGUCGCCAUCAAGUGCCUCAACCAGUGCGGCGUCCAGGGAGACAGAGAUGGUAUGCGGAGUAAGAAGAGUGAUUUAAGGGGAGAGAAAUCAUAACAGGGGUUGGUGGAGCAGAAGAGGGCGAAGGAAGACUUGUGGGGAGCUGCGAGGAAUAGAUUUUGGGAUUUGUUUCCUUAUAGGAUAUCCUGCCGAUUUGAUCUAUUUUUGGCUAGAGCACAUGGGAUCAAACCAGAGGUAAUCAAUUUUCUAUGUUCACCUGAUUAGUUAUAAGGAAUUUAUUACCUCUGUUUUAUUUCCAGGAUACCCAAACCAGUGGUAAUGUUUUUUAUGGCUUUGAAAUUCUGUACAAGGUAAUUACUUGUGGUUUCAAGGUUGCGCAAAGGAGAGGAGGCAUGGUUCAAGGUCGUCUUCUGGCACUGGUUUGCCAGCUAGGUCCUCGACAACAUCUGCGCCUCAUAGACAAGCUAGGGUCAACAAGGAACAAAGGGGUUGACACAUGGAGAAGCGGGAGCAUAAAAUUCAAAAGAGAAAAAAAAUGGGCGUAUUUGGAGCCGGAUGGAAACAUGGGCAGAUUUGGAGCAGUGUGAAGACGGCGCACACUGGUGUUGCAAUGACCAAAAGAGCCGAAGUGAAAGAAGAGAUGGAAUGACAAUGAUGCAACCUUGUCGUGUGAUUCUUGUAUGUAUAUUUGAGGUCGUAGAAAAAUAUGUAUUAGUGAGAUAAAGUGAUGGAGAUGCAUCUUAGGUGGAAAUGGAAGCAGAGCCCAAAGAUAAAUAGAGAAUUAUUAGUUUGUGAAUGAACAUGUGGUGGAAAGAUUGUUUUCUUGUUCAUAUGCCACAUUUUCUUACUAUUUCUACUAAGGUGAGGUGCCUUGUACAUGCCA